CUUCCUGUUUUCUCGAUCGAUCUGUGUUCAGUUUUUCAAGGCCUAUCCACUGUGCCAACUUAUAACUAAAUCUGAGGGGGGUGCGAUGGGGAUGUUCUCUUGUCAGUACCCAACUUGGAAGGAAUGUUUACCGACAAACUUUUAGUGGUAUUUUCGGGUCUGUAUGCUGACUGUUUUGAUACGAAAAUUCUAGCUUUUCUAAUGCUAUUUUACCCACUUUUCUUCCAAGACCUUUGUGCCACAGCAUUCAGUUCAGCGGCACGAUGGACAGAAGAAGCUUUUAUAACAAGUAUCUGGAUAGCAGACGGCGAAGAGUAGGUGAUGUACAGUUUCUCAUCGCCACAAUAUGCAUCAUCGCCCAGGGUAAAUUCUAAACGUCUCCUCGCUGUCUCAUGAACAGAGAGCACAUCACGCUACUGAUGGUGUAACGUCACAGAAUUAGGAUGUUAAGCUACGCUCUACCCUAGUCCAAUUCCAGAGCAGUAGACUAUAUAUUUAUUUUUUUUAAUUCCAGUCGACGAUCACAAAAAAUAGUCGUCAGAUCGGUUUUGGUCCAGAAUGACCAUCUUCAGAUCUGAUGAGACGAGCAGAUUACCAUAUCACCAUAUUAUUCUAAUACGAUUAAGCCGAAGUGGCACGGUCAAAAGAUACAAGCUAAAUUAGCAUGGCGUCAUUGAAAAUACAAUAGUGUAGUAUAAACCACACUACAAUGCCGGAAGAUGUGAAUGGCGCUGUUGUUCACAUCGUUUUAGGAUAUUACAAAGCUUCUCUGUUUUAAUCAGAUCUGAAGGCGGUCAUUAUGGACCGAAGUCCAUAGUCAGAUGACAAAUUUUUGUGAACGUCGAGUGGAAUGAAAAGAAUUCUGUACUUUCUCUAUCACUGGCUUUAUUCAGGCCUAUGUCGCACCUUGUGUGAUCAGUAUCUAUAUUCCGCUUCUACGUUCCUCCUCCUCCUCCUUCUCUUCAUCAUCGCCAUUGACAAUGCUAGAAGAUGCACUUGUACCAUUCAUCAGUACUCAAACGGCUAUUCAUAAGACAUACCACUCCAUACUUUAACGAAGAACAAGUGCCAUUCACUCGAAGAAGCAAACCUUUCUCGAGCAGAUGACUAAGACUGUCCAUCACGUUCUCUCUGCCGCAUUACUACUACACGACUUUACAUUUUGUCGAGUGGUUUCAUCAUAAGGCGUUGGGUAAAUAAUAUCUUUCUGACUGCGACAGCUGGAGUUCGACAUCAAAACAUAAAUCAACCUUUCAUUUGAGUUCUGACAACACAAACUUCAUGGACCUACAUACCGAUAACCAACCCUCACAAAAUAGAAAUUACGCGACAGUUGCAAAAGCUGCUAAAUAUGGCGUCCAUACUUCUCCUAGAAUGCCGUUUAGUAUCUGUCCUGUCAUUCUGUGUAUAUUUUUGUUACUGAUAUGAAAGAAAGUGUUGUCCACUGUUCCAUCGGAUAAUAAUUGAUACGUGUAUACGCUACCAGUGAUGAAAUCCAGUGUCUCUUUACCUGUUACAAAAUGUAACACUAUAACAUUCAAAGACCUUCGAAAAAAUAUAACAUGUAGUUUACGUACGGAAACAGUACUAUAAGUUGUUUCCACAACAUAUGUCACUGGUGUACUAUACACCGAAAGUUAAAAGGGAAUGUUCAAAGAAAUCCCCACUGUCUAAGAAACUUCCGUGGAUGCACGGUAGAUCGUAAACCCUACUAUUGGAGAAUAUCCUUAUAUUGUUUCUGUAACUAAUCAAUAAGUAGUCAAACUUUUUUCUUGGAGGGUUGGUGUCAAGCUGCAGUAGGUUUCAUACAACCAUAAUCAGCACCAAAGCGGUUUAUAUAUCUUCCAGUUUGUAUAUAAGCUUUUUCAACAGCAGUGAUUGGGUUUAAAAAUAAACCAAUCCGAGAUAUCCAAAACGUAGUAGUUAUUCUAAAUGGGUAGAGAGAUUUGUGUGAAGCCAAAAAUUACGUACUUUACCUCACCUAUAGAGACAGAUUCUGUCCAUUCCUUCCAAUACUCCUCAUUGCAUAUAUGAGGUUUUUUUCAUUUUUUACAUCUCGUGUACCAUGAAUUUUUAUAUAUCGACACUUUAAGGCAGUUUUGCUUCAUAAUACAAUUCAUACCAUCCUCACUGGUUAACAGAUCUUAGUACCUCUGAUGAAAGCAGUACUCAGGGUAACAAAACUGUGUGUUGGAGGUCAUGACAAGUACCAAAGUGCAUCAUCUUCAAUAUUUCGUGAGACUAACAUUUUUCUCAUACCUUUUACAGUGAAGUAAUUUAUCAAUGUAAUAUUUAUGUAUCAAUUACCAUUUGUGUAUCAUUACAUUUUGUGUGUUUCUCAUGCAACAUUUAAGCACUAAAUCAAAAAGUACAAGCCACCUUUA